UUGAGAAACCCCUAUUUCUUCUUUUGUAGAAGAAGCUUGGAAUCUUACCCUACUCUGUUGUUUUAGAUUAAGAAUCCAAGUUUACGUGUAUUGCUGCGAUUAUUUUCUUUGAUCGAUUAAGGGCUAAAGUUUUUGAAAUUCGAUUGUUUGUGAUAUUGGAAGAGGAGGAGAAUAUACAAUGAUCCUGACCUGGCUAACCCGAAGAUAUAGACGAUAUAGAGGGCUUUAUUAUGUCCGUAAAGCAAUAGACGCAGUAAACAAGAAUAUAUUGAGAACUUGGAACGAGAUAGGCAAGCUUACCUGGAGCAGGCUGACAUAGAAAGCUAAAAAAUAUGUCCGAGAAAACGACAUAGAAGCUACCAGACACCAUUCGAGGGUCAAGUUGCUACUCCAGCAUUCUGUUCAACAAUUCCAGGAAUUACUGAUGCGUUCACACAAAAAAGCUGGGUCCUCUAAAAAGGAUGCGAUUGCAAUUGUUGUGGGAGGACGACGAUCUCACCACUCACAAUCCAAAGCAUGUGUUUACAAUGUCUUUGGCUUUUUGUUUGUUCCUUUUUUUUUUUUUAUCACUUAUUUUGUCUUUUUCUAGCUCCUAAUAUUACACUACCGUUAUGAAUGUGCUAGAAAAGCGGUCGUCUAGAGGUUCCAAAGGGUCUAACUAAGUUUUACUUUGGUUUAUCUCUCUAGUCUCUCUCUAUCUAUAUACUAAUAAUAUUCUAUAUGUCUGUUAUAUAUAUUGAGAUUUGGUCUGGGACUGGGAGAUGAGCUCCAUCGUCAAAAUCAUCACAUUUUUGUAAUUCCACUUCAUCAGCUAUAUAAAGUGAAGUUUCAAUCU